UCCUACGGGAGGCAGCAGUGAGGAAUAUUGGUCAAUGGGCGCGAGCCUGAACCAGCCAAGUAGCGUGAAGGAUGAAGGUCCUACGGAUUGUAAACUUCUUUUAUAAGGGAAUAAAGUCGCCUACGUGUAGGCGUUUGUAUGUACCUUAUGAAUAAGCAUCGGCUAACUCCGUGCCAGCAGCCGCGGUAAUACGGAGGAUGCGAGCGUUAUCCGGAUUUAUUGGGUUUAAAGGGAGCGUAGACGGAGGAUUAAGUCAGUUGUGAAAGUUUGCGGCUCAACCGUAAAAUUGCAGUUGAUACUGGUCCCCUUGAGUGCAGUUGAGGCAGGCGGAAUUCGUGGUGUAGCGGUGAAAUGCUUAGAUAUCACGAAGAACCCCGAUCGCGAAGGCAGCCUGCUAAGCUGUAACUGACGUUGAUGCUCGAAAGUGUGGGUAUCAAACAGGAUUAGAUACCCUGGUAGUCCACACGGUAAACGAUGGAUACUCGCUGUUGGCGAUAUACUGUCAGCGGCCAAGCGAAAGCAUUAAGUAUCCCACCUGGGGAGUACGCCGGCAACGGUGAAACUCAAAGGAAUUGACGGGGGCCCGCACAAGCGGAGGAACAUGUGGUUUAAUUCGAUGAUACGCGAGGAACCUUACCCGGGCUUGAAUUGCAGAGGAAGGAUUUGGAGACAAUGACGCCCUUCGGGGCCUCUGUGAAGGUGCUGCAUGGUUGUCGUCAGCUCGUGCCGUGAGGUGUCGGCUUAAGUGCCAUAACGAGCGCAACCCCUCUCCUUAGUUGCCAUCAGGUUAAGCUGGGCACUCUGGGGACACUGCCACCGUAAGGUGUGAGGAAGGUGGGGAUGACGUCAAAUCAGCACGGCCCUUACGUCCGGGGCUACACACGUGUUACAAUGGCAGGUACAGAGAGACGGUCCCUUGCAAAAUGGAUCAAAUCCUUAAAGCCUGUCUCAGUUCGGACUGGGGUCUGCGACCCGACCCCACGAAGCUGGAUUCGCUAGUAAUCGCGCAUCAGCCAUGGCGCGGUGAAUACGUUCCCGGGCCUUGUACACACCGC
rnacentral:rRNA from 1 species